rnacentral:lncRNA from 1 species
ACACUCAUUCUUUGAAAAUCUAGUCUUUGAGAAAUACUUCUCUGUUGAAAGACAGCCUUGCAAGCAUUCUGCAUUUUGAAGGUUUAGGGUCUGCUGUAGAUUUAACUGAGAGAGAAAAAUCAACUUCUACUACUGCUGUUCCUGGAAUAAUGGAGUAAUGGAGGAGCUGGAGCUUUUUAAAAGUGUGAUUUUUUUUUUUUGACACUACUGGUUCAACUAGAGUUGCAAAUAUGUUUCUGCUCAAAUAAAAUGAAGCUCUCAAAAAAAAAACCAGAGUAAACUUUGUCUAGUUUUAAAACAACUUAGCUGUUAUCAAUGAAACAUAAUGUUUGAUAUUGCAGCCUCUCCAGAUUUAUGUUUUUCUUUUAUGUUUUCUGCACUACUCAGGUUCUCCUGGUUUUCCUGGACCAAAAGGUGAAAAGGGGCUUCCUGGAUUAACUGGCCUUGUAGGGCCACCAGGCUUCCCAGGCACCCCAGGUGCUCCUGGUAGACCUGGUCCUAAAGGAGACCCAGGGGAUGUCCUGACUUCUCCAAGACUGAAAGGUGACAAAGGAGACCCUGGCUUCCCAGGACCUCCAGGUCUCCCUGGCAUAGAUGGCACUCCUGGACGAGAUGGACUGCCAGGUUUGCCUGGCCCUAAGGGGGAACCUGGCAGUGUUGCAUUCAAAGGAGAAAUGGGUAUUCCAGGUGACCCAGGAAUACCAGGUCUUCCUGGAGAGAAAGGGCUUCCUGGACCUCCUGGUUUUGGUCCACAAGGCUCACCUGGUGAAAAGGGCAUCCAAGGUGUAUCUGGCCGUCCAGGACCUCCUGGUGUCCCAGGUGAGUUGGUCUCUGUGUGCUGUUGAGCAAGGGCUGCAAAGCCAAACUUUGCCCCUUCUCAGAACAUAAUGCUGCUUUUAAACUUUUCCUAGAG